GAUGAACGCUGGCGGCGUGCUUAACACAUGCAAGUCGAACGAUGAAGCUCAGCUUGCUGGGUGGAUUAGUGGCGAACGGGUGAGUAACACGUGAGUAACCUGCCCUUAACUCUGGGAUAAGCCUGGGAAACUGGGUCUAAUACCGGAUAGGAGCGUCCACCGCAUGGUGGGUGUUGGAAAGAUUUAUCGGUUUUGGAUGGACUCGCGGCCUAUCAGCUUGUUGGUGAGGUAAUGGCUCACCAAGGCGACGACGGGUAGCCGGCCUGAGAGGGUGACCGGCCACACUGGGACUGAGACACGGCCCAGACUCCUACGGGAGGCAGCAGUGGGGAAUAUUGCACAAUGGGCGCAAGCCUGAUGCAGCGACGCCGCGUGAGGGAUGACGGCCUUCGGGUUGUAAACCUCUUUCAGUAGGGAAGAAGCGAAAGUGACGGUACCUGCAGAAGAAGCACCGGCUAACUACGU
rnacentral:rRNA from 1 species